GCUGCGAGUGUUUAGCGAGAGAUAUCGCAGAGAUCUCUAUAUUUUGAUAAAUUUCAUAUUUGUCCCAAAAAUACUUUUCGAAUCAACGCAUAUUUGAGUUGAGCAUUUCGUUCAGAAUCUAAAACUUAUUUCAUUUACCGUAAAACAGGCUUAAAACAAUUCAGGAUGAAGUUGAAAUUCAAUUUCUGCAUUUUGCAAGGCGCUGUUUCAGAGAACUUUGCCUGAAUUCUGUAGGUUUGACGCGAUUCCGUCUACAAAAAGAAGUCGGGCAAUGUUUUGGUUUUGAGCUAGGGAGCGCUCAAGAUAGAGAGCUUUCUGAAUAAUAUUUUGAUUGUUAUUUUCUGAGAUAAUUAGGAGUCAUUCUUAGACAUUAGCUUAUCAUCGAGUUAAAAAUGUCUGGGGAACAAUAUGAUAUUUCUCCUCAGGAGAAAAGGCUAAUUGAAGAGCGUCGGAACCAUCGAAUGAAAAUGAAAGCCCAAUGGCAAAAGCUGGUUUCUGACCCUCACAGCCACAAGCAUGGUGGAUAUGUGUUCGACCCGGCUAUGCAGCGGUUCAUGUCGAUGCGGGUUACCCAGUACGAAUCGUUCCGGCCGACGCUGGGUAACUUUUUCCGCGGCAUCGGCAUCACCGCCAUCCCGAUCCUGCUGUUCGCCCAGCUGAUGCACUGGGACCGGACGAGGAAGGAGAAGGAGUUCAGCACCGGCCAGGUGGCGUACAAGGACCGCCUCUGGAAGACCUACCGCUAGUCAGCUGGCCGGCUCGGGGGUGGUAUCGUGAAUGGUGUGAACUGAACUACAGAUGCAAAAUACAUUAGCUGAUCGUGUCACACAUUGUAAUAUUGUAAAAGAAACAGAGGGCAAUAGCAGUUACAUACGUGAUACGGGAGGUAGCCUGGUACUUUUUGGUCGGGGUCACGUAAAAUGAAAGUUUUGUUCAUGAAAUGCCGGUUUGCGAUAUGAACGUUUUUUUAUUAAAAAAAAAAAAAUGCUGGCUAGGCAGAAUAGAACGUUCAAAACAUCAGAAUUUCUCGAUCUUUCGCAAGUUGAGCGUAAUACCUAUCUCAUGCUCGUGUGACCCGUAUCCGUUGCAAACAUGUCAUGUUAUUUAAGUCCUCCCUUUGCAGGAGCUUAUCAAAAACCAGCAGUACCACUGGAAAGAACUAAACUUUUAUUGACACCGCUACUAUGGGCCUAAAAUGUACAAACGACAUGCAGUGAUGAUGAUUAUGUACAACGCGCUGUCUAAGCUAGGAAUGAUAGGAGGCCAGCGAAACUACAAUCACUAUCGUUACGUUGACGCAGGCGGAGAAGCAGAACAUAGAUUAGCGACGUGGAAACCCUGCAUCAAAGCAAAUGGCAAGUAAUACCACAUGAACUGAUUUUUCCCGAACACGAGCUUCCAGACGACAAUUGGCAUGGAAGGGCGUUAGAUCAUGACUUCAAUUCCAACAUUACAUACUUCAAGAGGCCUGUUUCAUUCAUCAACGGUGGUUGCGAAACACAAAUCGCGUUUGCACUAUGUGCCUGCAAAACGGCAUCGUUCAUCUGCCACACAAACUGACACGGUUAUGUCGAACGUAACCUUGGGCUUACUGGAAUACACAUUGAAUAGUGAACACAGGGUCGAACCACGCACUGGGUUGUGAUAGCGUAUCAUUCCUCUGACUUCAAAUGAAUUCAUACAAUACGGACCGGAAAUUGUGAGAAUACCAGUUAUGACUCAAUAGCAAUCGAGAACAAAAACAAAGGAAUGGGUAGGAUGUUCCGAAACUAUUUUCGUUUUUUUUUGUGAUUUUUUAACGUAUAUGUCGUUUUCUGCUUGUUUUUGUCAUGUAUGGUUAAACCUCUUGUACUACCGAUCAUAUCCACAAGCACACACACUCACGCAUACAUCUACACAUCAACACACACCCCAACACACUCAGACAACGCACACGCAUUCGUUCAAUCAGAGAUUUCAAUGUGCUGCUCUCGAUGGAUUCCGUUUUUGCUUGAGCAUACUGCACAAUGGUUGAUUUAAAAUUUGUAACUAUAAAUUGUAGAGGUCUUGGCGACUUGAGAAAACGUAGAGACGUUUUGAAUUAUAUCAGAAAACAAAAUUACGAGAUUAUUUUCUUACAAGAUACGCACAACACUGAUGUGUCAACAAAGUACUUUAAUAGCUUAUGGCCAGGUAAAUGCUACCAUUCAUGCCACACAAACCGUAGUAGAGGUGUAAGCAUUUUGAUUAAGCGAAACGUACAAAGCGAGAUUAUAGAAACAAAACAUUCAGAUUGUGGAAACUUCAUUAUAGUAGUUUUUCGACCCGGCUAUGCAGCGGUUCAUGUCGAUGCGGGUGACCCAGUACGAAUCGUUCCGGCCGACGCUGGGUAACUUUUUCCGCGGCAUCGGCAUCACCGCCAUCCCGAUCCUGCUGUUCGCCCAGCUGAUGCACUGGGACCGGACGAGGAAGGAGAAGGAGUUCAGCACCGGCCAGGUGGCGUACAAGGACCGCCUCUGGAAGACCUACCGCUAGUCAGCUGGCCGGCUCGGGGGUGGUAUCGUGAAUGGUGUGAACUGAACUACAGAUGCAAAAUACAUUAGCUGAUCGUGUCA